ensembl:processed_transcript
GCAGCCGGCAGAAGCCAGCUCUCGGGCUGACAGGCAAAUGAACCAGAUCGUGGACAGGGCCUCUGGGUGGCAGCUCCGGCCUUUUGGUUGUUGGACAACUAUAGUCAGAACUGAAAUGGAACAGGGGCAGGAGAAAUAACACACUUUUACUCCACGCAACUGUUGCUUUCAUAUGAUCUUCAGGAAUGUAACUGGGAUAAUUGUCCAAAUCGAAUCCCAUGCCCUGUCAUGGUACUGAUUAUUAAGGUGACUAUAUGAAAGGAUCACUCCAAAAUAACAGGAAUCUUGAGGAACCCAUUAAUGUAAAGCUGCUGCCAGAGUUCCAUGAGGAGGCAGAAUGUUCUAGAUGAUCCCUGUCUCUUCUCCAUUGAGGAAGUAGUUUCUUGCCUCUCUGUAAGCUCAGUUAAUCAUACCAGAAUAGGAGUCCUGUCUUAACUGAGCAAUAUACACUAUGGAGAGAUCCUUCAAAACCCGUCGGGACGAAUAACAGAUGAAUUCAUAAAACUGUUCAUCUCUGUUAUCCUGAAUGGUCACUCAGACAACAUUUUACUCAACUAUAAAGGGGAACACUUAAAGUGCAUAUGAGAAGAGAAGAGAAUGACCACAGGAGAAAAUCAUCUCAGGCCACGAUUUCCUAACCAGAAUCUGUAAGAGAGAUUCCAAGAACUUGGGAGAAGCAUAUUGUGUGAUGUUCUAUAUUUAUGAGACCCAUAGCAAACUGUGAAGAGAUAACAGAAUGCUUUUUGCGUGAGCUGAGACAGUAGAUGAAAUCUUUCAUUAAAAGUACUCGUACUUUGGGUCCUAUUCUUAUUUAUAAAUAAAUAUUAUUGCAAAC